UCUAAGCCAUGCGAGUCAUUGUAGCAAUACAAGGCAGACGGCUCAGUAACGCGUAGUCAAUCUACCCUAUGGACGGGAAUAACCUCGGGAAACUGAGAAUAAUGCCCGAUAGAACAUUAUGCCUGGAAUGGUUUAUGUUUCAAAUGAUUUAUCGCCAUAGGAUGGGACUGCGGCCUAUCAGUUUGUUGGUGAGGUAAUGGCCCACCAAGACUAUUACAGGUACGGGCUCUGAGAGGAGUAGCCCGGAGAUGGGUACUGAGACACGGACCCAGGCCCUAUGGGGCGCAGCAGGCGAGAAAACUUUGCAAUGUGCGAAAGCACGACAAGGUUAAUCCGAGUGGUUUCUGCUAAAGAAACCUUUUGUCAGUCCUAGAAACACUGACGAAUAAGGGGUGGGCAAGUUCUGGUGUCAGCCGCCGCGGUAAAACCAGCACCUCAAGUGGUCAGGAUGAUUAUUGGGCCUAAAGCAUCCGUAGCUCGUUUUGUAAGUUUUCGGUUAAAUCCAUGCGCUUAACGUAUGGGCUGCCGGGAAUACUGCAUAACUAGGAAGUGGGAGAGGUAGACGGUACUCGGUAGGAAGGGGUAAAAUCCUUUGAUCUAUUGAUGACCACCUGUGGCGAAGGCGGUCUACCAGAACACGUUCGACGGUGAGGGAUGAAAGCUGGGGGAGCAAACCGGAUUAGAUACCCGGGUAGUCCCAGCUGUAAACUAUGCAAACUCAGUGAUGCAUUGGCUUGUGGCCAAUGCAGUGCUGCAGGGAAGCCGUUAAGUUUGCCGCCUGGGAAGUACGUACGCAAGUAUGAAACUUAAAGGAAUUGGCGGGGGAGCACCACAAGGGGUGAAGCCUGCGGUUCAAUUGGAGUCAACGCCAGAAAUCUUACCCGGAGAGACAGCAGAAUGAAGGUCAAGCUGAAGACUUUACCAGACAAGCUGAGAGGUGGUGCAUGGCC
rnacentral:rRNA from 1 species